UGCAAGUCGAGCGGAGUGAUGGUGCUUGCACUAUCACUUAGCGGCGGACGGGUGAGUAAUGCUUAGGAAUCUGCCUAUUAGUGGGGGACAACAUUUCGAAAGGAAUGCUAAUACCGCAUACGUCCUACGGGAGAAAGCAGGGGAUCUUCGGACCUUGCGCUAAUAGAUGAGCCUAAGUCGGAUUAGCUAGUUGGUGGGGUAAAGGCCUACCAAGGCGACGAUCUGUAGCGGGUCUGAGAGGAUGAUCCGCCACACUGGGACUGAGACACGGCCCAGACUCCUACGGGAGGCAGCAGUGGGGAAUAUUGGACAAUGGGCGCAAGCCUGAUCCAGCCAUGCCGCGUGUGUGAAGAAGGCCUUAUGGUUGUAAAGCACUUUAAGCGAGGAGGAGGCUACUGAAGUUAAUACCUUCAGAUAGUGGACGUUACUCGCAGAAUAAGCACCGGCUAACUCUGUGCCAGCAGCCGCGGUAAUACAGAGGGUGCAAGCGUUAAUCGGAUUUACUGGGCGUAAAGCGCGCGUAGGCGGCUAAUUAAGUCAAAUGUGAAAUCCCCGAGCUUAACUUGGGAAUUGCAUUCGAUACUGGUUAGCUAGAGUGUGGGAGAGGAUGGUAGAAUUCCAGGUGUAGCGGUGAAAUGCGUAGAGAUCUGGAGGAAUACCGAUGGCGAAGGCAGCCAUCUGGCCUAACACUGACGCUGAGGUGCGAAAGCAUGGGGAGCAAACAGGAUUAGAUACCCUGGUAGUCCAUGCCGUAAACGAUGUCUACUAGCCGUUGGGGCCUUUGAGGCUUUAGUGGCGCAGCUAACGCGAUAAGUAGACCGCCUGGGGAGUACGGUCGCAAGACUAAAACUCAAAUGAAUUGACGGGGGCCCGCACAAGCGGUGGAGCAUGUGG
rnacentral:rRNA from 1 species